AACGAACGCUGGCGGCGUGGAUUAGGCAUGCAAGUCGUACGCGAAAGAGGGGGCAACCCCUUGAGUAGAGUGGCGAACGGGUGAGUAACGCGUGAGGAACCUGCCUUCGACAGGGGGAUAACACUCCCAACGGGGUGCUAAUACCGCAUGAGACCACGGGGCUGCAUGGCCCUGAGGUCAAAGAUGGCCUCUAUUUAUAAGCUAUCGGUCGAAGAUGGCCUCGCGUCCCAUUAGCUAGUUGGCGGUGUAAAAGACCACCAAGGCGACGAUGGGUAGCUGGUCUGAGAGGAUGAUCAGCCACACUGGAACUGAGACACGGUCCAGACUCCUACGGGAGGCAGCAGUAAGGAAUAUUGCUCAAUGGCCGAAAGGCUGAAGCAGCAACGCCGCGUGGAGGAUGAAAUACUUUUGUAUGUAAACUCCUGUGAGAAGGGAAAAUAUGCAGAUUUUCUGCGUUGAUUGUACCUUCAGAGGAAGCCCCGGCUAACUA
rnacentral:rRNA from 1 species